rnacentral:lncRNA from 13 species
AUGUUGUCAACAAACAACUACUCUGGUCUCGUACCCCCUCAACUGCCUGAAUUAUGUGAUGUUCUACCUGAAAAUGAAAAACCAUUGGUAACAAAUAUAAUAAACAUGAAAGAGUGCAUGUUUAUCCUUUCUUCCUUAUGUGGGUUCCAGGACUAUGAAAACACGGAUGACUUCUGGUGCUGUGCGGUGUGGAGGGAAGGCCAGGAGGAGGUGGAGGGUGUGGUUCCCAGUACCUGGGUGGUGGGCAGGAAGGUCCUGUGGCCUCCAGCCAAUGGGAGGAAGGCUCUGAAAGAGAGACACAAGCCAGGAGCCAAUUGGACGACAUAUGACCUUGUUAAAGUCAAACUAUUCUCAGAAUCUCUGGAAGAGUGUGAAGGCUACAGUAGGUCCAGUGAUGAGCUCACUGACAACGGAGACAGUGAGCCCAACACGCAAAAGAAGAAGAGGAGGAGGAGGAAGAGGAGGACGGGUGAGGGGCACGUUACCGGCACUGAUCAGAUACCUCAAGGAGGACCCAGUGGAGAUGGAAGGAUACACACAGGUGUGUCAGGAUCCUCAAACUCUCCUCCUCUGAAGAGGAGAGUGAUGACGAAAUCUGGAACCCUGGAGGAGAGUUCUGGAGCUCUAGAAGCAGAACCUCAGCUGGAUCCGUCUGAGCUCAGAGGCCUUGACGACGCACUCAACAAGGAGAGCUACCUCAUAGAGGGACCACACUCUUCUGACGCAUGGGAUUCUGUUUUUCCAACCUCUCAGUCCAGAGAGGGAACAUUCCUAAGUGGACAGGAUAUGAUGGGAAACCUGCUGAAUUCAACCCAAAGUUUUCCUCUUCCAAAUGACCAGUUCCAGGAGCAGGUCCUGGGUCUGCUGGUGGACAUCAGACAGUCAGUGUGGGAUCUAGGAGGAAGGGUGGGAGUUCUAGAACACUGGGGUGGUUCUAGGGGUUCUGGAACAGAUUUCCAUUUUGACGUGUGCAGAACCUACGAGGACAUGGCCAACCUGGAGAAAGUUCUAGAGCCUCCUGAGGUCGCUGCCCAGAUGAAACAGUUCCUGAGCAGGAUCGGUGGGAACACCUUGAGAGAAAAUGUCACCAGGGUGAUGGAGAGGCUGAUGACCAAUGAACUGAUGAGUACCUUCAACAUGAAAGGAAGGAAAGGAACCAAGAAGAGUUUUCUCACACACUCCCUCAGUAAAAUCAUUAUUGACAGCAUCAUGAUCACCCACCCGUACGCCACAGAGUCUGCUGUGAUGCACCUGAUGGCCAACGUACUGAAGUACGCCCCAGACCGACGCGGAGGAGGAGGCAGACCCCCCAGACAGUCACCCCAGGUCCCCCAUACCCAGAGACAGCAACACAUCAACAUCAAACAGGAGCAAGACUAUUAAUGCCUGGACACCUUCCUUCUAGCCUGCGUACCAGUCUGUUUGUGCUAUUAUUGUCAUGCCAAGGAGUGGGAUGAUAGCACAGACUGGUACCCAGGCUACCUUCCUACUCUACCUGGGUCAUAUUCACUAGUAGUUACCAAACCAGUGUUAAUUUCGUCAACAAAAAUAGUGACUAAAAUAUUCAGCAAGCACCUAUUUUUCAGUGGCAAUUGACAAGACUAUAACUGAAUAAAUAGACCCAGAAAAAGAACUAGAAAUAAACUAAAAGGAUAUUUCAUUCCAGUUGACUAAAACUGGACGAGAAUAAAGGAUCUGACUAAAAUCAGAUAAGUGGACUGGACAAUAGUUUUUGGAGAGAUUGAGAGCUUUUCUGUGAUAAGCACAAUUAAUAUUAGCAGUGGGAAGGACUUGCCACAUCACCUGGUGAGCUGGGGGGGG